GACGAACGCUGGCGGCGUGCUUAACACAUGCAAGUCGAACGGAAAGGCCCUGCUUUUGUGGGGUGCUCGAGUGGCGAACGGGUGAGUAACACGUGAGUAACCUGCCCUUGACUUUGGGAUAACUUCAGGAAACUGGGGCUAAUACCGGAUAGGAGCUCCUGCUGCAUGGUGGGGGUUGGAAAGUUUCGGCGGUUGGGGAUGGACUCGCGGCUUAUCAGCUUGUUGGUGGGGUAGUGGCUUACCAAGGCUUUGACGGGUAGCCGGCCUGAGAGGGUGACCGGCCACAUUGGGACUGAGAUACGGCCCAGACUCCUACGGGAGGCAGCAGUGGGGAAUAUUGCACAAUGGGCGGAAGCCUGUUGCAGCAACGCCGCGUGCGGGAUGACGGCCUUCGGGUUGUAAACCGCUUUCGCCAGUGACGAAGCGUGAGUGACGGUAAUGGGUAAAGAAGCACCGGCUAACUACGUG
rnacentral:rRNA from 1 species